UGCGCAGGCGGGCUUGUAAGUCAGUGGUGAAAUACUGCCGCUUAACGGUAGAACUGCCAUUGAUACUGCGAGUCUUGAAUAUGGUUGAGGUAGGCGGAAUGUGUUGUGUAGCGGUGAAAUGCAUAGAUAUGACACAGAACGCCGAUUGCGAAGGCAGCUUACUAAGCCAUUAUUGACGCUGAGGCACGAAAGUGUGGGGAGCGAACAGGAUUAGAUACCCUGGUAGUCC
rnacentral:rRNA from 1 species